rnacentral:rRNA from 1 species
AGUGAACGCUGGCGGCAGGCCUAACACAUGCAAGUCGAGCGGCAGCACAGGAAGCUCUUGCUCUUACGGUUGGCGAGGGGCGGAUGAGUGAGGAGUGCAUCGCAAACUACUAUGUCUGGGGUAACUACGUAGGGACACUUACGCUACCAGCGCAUAUGUUGUACGGGUGGAAUCAGGGGAGCAUGGGGCUUUGCGCGUUUCUACGAGACGAUGUCGGAUUAGCUAGUUGGCGGGGUAAGGGCCCACCAAGGCGACGAUACGUAGCUGGUCUGAGAGGAUGAUCAGCCACACUGGAACUGAGACACGGUCCAGACUCCUACGGGAGGCAGCAGUGGGGAAUAUUGGGCAAUGGGCGCAAGCCUGACGCAGCCAUCCCGCGUGAGUGAUGAAGGCCUUCGGGUUGUAAAGCUCUUUUGUUGGGAAAGAACAGCAGUGGGUUAAUCCCUCGCCGUUUUGACGGUACCCAAUGAAUAAGCACCGGCUAACUACGUG